GACGAACGCUGGCGGCGUGCCUAAUACAUGCAAGUCGAACGCAGUGGGGACGGGUGAGUAACACGUGGGCAAUCUCCCAUCAGACGGGAUAACCCUUGGAAACAGGUGCUAAACCCGUACUGAAGGAUGGACCCGGGGUGCAUUAGCUAGUUGGAGAGGUAACGGCUCACCAAGGCCACGAUGCAUAGCCGGCCUGAGAGGGUGAGCAGCCACACUGGGACUGAGACACGGCCCAGACUCCUACGGGAGGCAGCAGUAGGGAAUCUUCGACAAUGGACGAAAGUCUGACCGAGCAACGACGCGUGAAUGAAGAAGGUUUUCGGAUCGUAAAACUCUGUUGUUAGAGAAGCGGUAUCUAACCAGAAAGCCACGGCUAACUACGUGCCAGCAGCCGCGGUAAUUC
rnacentral:rRNA from 1 species